GAUGAACGCUGGCGGCGUGCCUAAUACAUGCAAGUCGAGCGAACGGACGAGAAGCUUGCUUCUCUGAUGUUAGCGGCGGACGGGUGAGUAACACGUGGAUAACCUACCUAUAAGACUGGGUUAACUUCGGGAAACCGUAGCUAAUACCGGAUAAUAUUUUGAACCGCAUGGUUCAAAAGUGAAAGACGGUCUUGCUGUCACUUAUAGAUGGAUCCGCGCUGCAUUAGCUAGUUGGUAAGGUAACGGCUUACCAAGGCAACGAUGCAUAGCCGACCUGAGAGGGUGAUCGGCCACACUGGAACUGAGACACGGUCCAGACUCCUACGGGAGGCAGCAGUAGGGAAUCUUCCGCAAUGGGCGAAAGCCUGACGGAGCAACGCCGCGUGAGUGAUGAAGGUCUUCGGAUCGUAAAACUCUGUUAUUAGGGAAGAACAUAUGUGUAAGUAACUGUGCACAUCUUGACGGUACCUAAUCAGAAAGCCACGGCUAACUACGUG
rnacentral:rRNA from 1 species